GAGGGUAUAGCUCAGUGGUAGAGAGGGUGCUUAGCAAGCAUGAGGUCCUGGGUUCAAUCCCCGGUACCACCA
rnacentral:tRNA from 1 species